rnacentral:rRNA from 1 species
AUUGAAUGCUGGCGGCAGGCCUAACACAUGCAAGUCGAACGCGUGGCGGACGGGGGAGUAUAGUCUGGGAAACUGCGCGAUGGAGGGGGAUAAAUCCUGGAAACGGUAUCUAAUAUCGCACAUCACCAGAUGUGCCCAGAUGGGAUUAGCUAGUAGGGGGGGUAACGGCUCACCUAGGCGACGAUCCCUAGCUGGUCUGAGAGGAUGACAAGCCACACUGGAACUGAGACACGGUCCAGACUCCUACGGGAGGCAGCAGUGGGGAAUAUUGCACAAUGGGCGCAAGCCUGAUGCAGCCAUGCCGCGUGUAUGAAGAAGGCCUUCGGGUUGUAAAGUACUUUCAGCGGGGAGGCGUUACCCGCAGAAGAAGCACCGGCUAACUCCGUGCCAGCAGCCGCGGUAAUAC